UGCGAGCGUGGCGGAACUGGCAGACGCGCAAGGUUUAGGUCCUUGUGUCCUUAGGGACGUGGAGGUUCGAAUCCUCUCGCUCGCAG
rnacentral:tRNA from 1 species